rnacentral:rRNA from 1 species
CGGGAGCAAUCCUGGUGGCGAGUGGCGAACGGGUGAGUAAUAUAUCGGAACGUGCCCAAUCGUGGGGGAUAACGCAGCGAAAGCUGUGCUAAUACCGCAUACGAUCUACGGAUGAAAGCGGGGGAUUCGCAAGAACCUCGCGCGAAUGGAGCGGCCGAUAUCAGAUUAGCUAGUUGGUGGGGUAAAAGCUCACCAAGGCGACGAUCUGUAGCUGGUCUGAGAGGACGACCAGCCACACUGGAACUGAGACACGGUCCAGACUCCUACGGGAGGCAGCAGUGGGGAAUUUUGGACAAUGGGCGCAAGCCUGAUCCAGCAAUGCCGCGUGCAGGAUGAAGGCCUUCGGGUUGUAAACUGCUUUUGUACGGAGCGAAACGGUCUUCUUUAAUAAAGAGGGCUAAUGACGGUACCGUAAGAAUAAGCACCGGCUAACUACGUGCCAGCAGCCGCGGUAAUACGUAGGGUGCGAGCGUUAAUCGGAAUUACUGGGCGUAAAGCGUGCGCAGGCGGUGAUGUAAGACAGAUGUGAAAUCCCCGGGCUCAACCUGGGACCUGCAUUUGUGACUGCAUCGCUAGAGUACGGUAGAGGGGGAUGGAAUUCCGCGUGUAGCAGUGAAAUGCGUAGAUAUGCGGAGGAACACCGAUGGCGAAGGCAAUCCCCUGGACCUGUACUGACGCUCAUGCACGAAAGCGUGGGGAGCAAACAGGAUUAGAUACCCUGGUAGUCCACGCCCUAAACGAUGUCAACUGGUUGUUGGGUCUUUGCUGACUCAGUAACGAAGCUAACGCGUGAAGUUGACCGCCUGGGGAGUACGGCC